UAAAUACUCCCUCCGUCCCAAAAUUCUUGUCUUAGAUUUGUCUAAAUACGGAUGUAUCUAGUUACGUUUUAGUGUUAGAUACAUCCGUAUCUAGACAAAUCUAAGACAAGAAUUUUGGGAUGGAGGGAGUACUAG
rnacentral:pre_miRNA from 1 species